rnacentral:rRNA from 1 species
ACAGCGGAGGGAUCAUUACCGAGUUUACAACUCCCAAACCCCUGUGAACAUACCUUACUGUUGCCUCGGCGGAUCAGCCCGCUCCCGGUAAAACGGGACGGCCCGCCAGAGGACCCCUAAACUCUGUUUCUAUAUGUAACUUCUGAGUAAAACCAUAAAUAAAUCAAAACUUUCAACAACGGAUCUCUUGGUUCUGGCAUCGAUGAAGAACGCAGCAAAAUGCGAUAAGUAAUGUGAAUUGCAGAAUUCAGUGAAUCAUCGAAUCUUUGAACGCACAUUGCGCCCGCCAGUAUUCUGGCGGGCAUGCCUGUUCGAGCGUCAUUUCAACCCUCAAGCCCUCGGGUUUGGUGUUGGGGAUCGGCGAGCCUUUCUGGCAAGCCGGCCCCGAAAUCUAGUGGCGGUCUCGCUGCAGCCUCCAUUGCGUAGUAGUAAAACCCUCGCAACUGGAACGCGGCGCGGCCAAGCCGUUAAACCCCCAACUUCUGAAUGUUGACCUCGGAUCAGGUAGGAAUACCCGCUGAACUUAAGCAUAU